GUGUUAGCCGCCGCGGUAAUACGUAGGGUCCAAGCGUUAUCCGGAUUUACUGGGUGUAAAGGGCGAGUAGACGGUUAGGCAAGUCAGAUGUGAAAACUCAGGGCUCAACUUUGAGACUGCAUCUGAAACUGUCUGACUAGAGUGCAGAAGAGGUAAGUGGAAUUCCUAGUGUAGCGGUGAAAUGCGUAGAUAUUAGGAGGAACACCAGUGGCGAAGGCGACUUACUGGGCUGUAACUGACGUUGAGGCGCGAAAGUGUGGGGAGCAAACAGGAUUAGAUACCCUGGUAGUCCACACUGUAAACGAUGGAUACUAGGUGUAGGCACGAAUGUGUCUGUGCCGGCGCAAACGCAAUAAGUAUCCCACCUGGGGAGUACGACCGCAAGGUUGAAACUCAAAGGAAUUGACGG
rnacentral:rRNA from 1 species